rnacentral:lncRNA from 1 species
GGACGCCUUCAUCUGAAUCACUGUGUCUUUGCCCUUCUUUAGGAGCUCGGGUACAUCAGGAGGAUACAUUUUUCUUGCAUGGAGAAUGGAUGAUGUGUGCACUUUUGAAAGUUCGUAGGCUUUCAAUCUGCCUCCUGUUCACCUUGAAGUGAUUGCUGGAUGCCGGUUCCUCAUGCAGGAGUCUGAGCUUCUGCAGAAACUCGGUGAACCACUAUAAGAACACAGUGUAAGGAGGAGGAGAGUUGGAUUCUCAGCUCUGGACAGAUCUAUAUUUAUGGGAUUCCCUGUGCGGUCCAUCAGCUUACUAACCACAUGGCUCACUAGAUUCUGUACAGCUGGGGAAACUGAGGCUUGGAGAAAGAAAUUUUGUGAAAUACUAGAAGAGAGCACUUGAAGGAAGAAGGAUUCUUUUUGCUCGUGUGACAGAAAAGGUCGAGACGGCAACCCAGGCCAUCACUGACCAUCCGGCAGAGGUCAUCGGUCUCAGGAAAGAAGAUGGCCGGAGGAAUUGUAAAAUAUCUCUUACUGCUGAAGAACUGGUAAGAAUGGCUGAGUGACAGCCAGGGGUGAUGAAACACUUCAGAAAAGGUCCCUCUCCCAUUAUUCCAGCCAACUGUGUGAGAUAGAAAUGGAGGUGGACAUCAGAAACUGGAGACUGAAAUCUCCCCACACUCAGAAUAAGGGCAACUAACUCAGCCUUCCAAAAAUGCAGAGCCGAAUUGGGUCUCCGCAAACUGCAUUCAACCCCCGGGGUUUAG